rnacentral:rRNA from 1 species
UACGUAGGUGGCAAGCGUUGUCCGGAUUUACUGGGCGUAAAGAGCGCGCAGGCGGUCGUUCAAGUCGCGUGUGAAAGCCCCCGGCUCAACUGGGGAGGGUCACGCGAUACUGAUCGACUCGAAGGCAGGAGAGGGUAGUGGAAUUCCCGGUGUAGUGGUGAAAUGCGUAGAUAUCGGGAGGAACACCAGUGGCGAAGGCGACUCCCUGGCCUGUUCUUGACGCUGAGGCGCGAAAGCUAGGGGAGCAAACGGG